GGGAUGUCUUUAGUGAAUAUAACUCAAAACGAAUCUCCAGACAUUUGGUGAUUUUAAUACAUAAUUGGGUUAACUGUAUCAUCCAUGACAAGCAUUUAUCUCCUAUAUCAAAUUAUGUGUUAAUAUGGAGUAAUAAGACAUUGCACAAAAUGUGUAGCAUGCCGGUUCCUUGACACAAUCCAUAUUAAUACCUAAGUUAUAGUUAGAAUCAAAGUUUGCCGUCUCAGUACUGGACCUCGUAUCGGUGUUAUACUAGCACUAUAUUGGUGGUACGGUAUGGAGCCUUUUUUGGCAUAUCAAGUGUUAGUACGUCUCCCGUAUUGGGUAGGUAUCAGUACUGAACAGAUACGAUAUAGUACGCCCCGUACCGCUUGGUUCAAGCCGGUACGGCGAAUCACAGUGAGAAUCAAGAGAAGAGACAUGUCCUAAAUGCAUUGUUUGCUUUGCUUUGGUCUUAUCCUUGGGAAAUUAUAUGGAGAAGUUGAAAAUAUUAUGUGAUUGCUGGACGCUAGUAGAACUUUAAACAAAAUUAAUGUUACUGUUAUAUGAGCAGAUUGAUAGUGCGAGUCAAAGAGUUCAGCAAUGAACAAAAUGUGAUGAAGUGAGUUAAGGGGUGGAUCUCUUUUAGAACUAAGGUGGAUCUAUCUCAAAACUAGGGUAAACUAAGUUAGUGAAUAGCAGCAAUGAUAGAGAUGAAGUGAGUGAGAACUAGUUAAGAUGGUUUGGUUAUAUACAACAUAAGCUAUGGAGAGUAGGCGCGCCUUAUCGGUGCGUACAGCCACCUACCAGGCAUUAUACUGUACUGGUACUAAACCAAGACUCAGUAUAGGGCCGAACUGACCACCGUAUCGGAUGUACUAAUAUUGUACCAGCAUGGUAUCAGUAUAGGUUCUGGUCUGAUGUUGCGAACCUUGUUGGAGGGUCUUGACAAAGAGGGGUCUUGUUUAAGUUUACAAAUGUUGGAAAAGAGGAACAAAACAUGAAAUCAUAUGUGGAUGGUUUCUUUCCUUAGUUCACAUUUUGAGCAAUUUUUCACGAUAAAAUUACCAUAGACAACUAGGAAUAGCAUUUAUGGAUUGAGCAAACAAUUUAUACAUAAAUUAUGGAAAAUAUUUUAAAAGGAACAUCCGUUAUAUCUAAAAUGGCGCCUUUUUGUUCUAUGUUCAAACUAGGCAAGUAGCCUCCAUUUUUGGUACAACCUUUGGAAGAAAAGUUUUAAUUGCUUGUUUACAUUUGUAUUCUUGCAAAUGAUGGUUCUGGGUUCCGACAACCAUAUGUUGAUACUUGCUUUAUGAGUUUCCAGGCAUACUGAUGUUUUAGAGCCUAGCCCAAGGAAAUACUACAUGUUGUAAAUGAAACUUUGUGCAAAAAUCAAGUACCAUUGUAUGAAGGAUAAGCAAACCAAAGAUAAGUGUGAAAUUUUUACUUAGUUUGUGCAAUUUACUAUUUGUGAUAAUAUGUAACUUUGA
rnacentral:lncRNA from 1 species